rnacentral:lncRNA from 1 species
GCUUAAGAUGUAAAACCAGUUCAUUGAAAACCUUAAACGAUGACAAUCCUAUGUAUAUGCCAACUCAAUUCAGUAAAGCAGAACUAAAGAGGGGUUUGAGGGCUAUAUCUUGAGUAGCUCGUGAAAUCAUGUGGAUAUUAGUUAUGCUAGGGACUGACUUUGAACACCAACAAGAAUCAUAAGUAAAUACCAACAAGAAUCGGCAGAAAAAUGAUGGUAUGCCCCAUUAUAUUAUCAAUAUCUUAAAGAGGUUAAAACAAGAGAAAGUGAGAGAAAAAAAACAGGCAUCAAGGAAAAUGGCUAUCGAGACGAGCAAUGUCCAAAAGAAAACAGAGAUAUAGUUGUAUUCUAAGAAGUAAAGUGCAUUGUAAUAUAGAUUCGUAAACUUGUGUCAAAGCAUCAACAUCAGAAUUUGAAGAGAUACUAGUACCAACAUAAGCAACAAGAAAAAUAAACCUACUUUUUAGAUGCUUGUAAACUUCUUCUUUGCAGUUACAUUCACAGAUGGUUGUGGCUUUGGAUGCUUUUCUGCCUCGCUCGGGUCCAACCA